AACCUUUGCAAUACACGCAAGUGUGACAGGGUCAUCCCGAGUGCCGACCGCUGAGGUUGGCUUUUAUCCAGUCUAGAAAGCUGGGGGAAUAAGGAGAGGGCAAGUCUGGUGUCAGCCGCCGCGGUAAUACCAGCUCUCCGAGUGGUGUGGACGUUUAUUGGGCCUAAAGCAUCCGUAGCUGGCUGAGCAAGUCCCCUGUUAAAC
rnacentral:rRNA from 1 species